UCUGCUGUUUGAAGACUGUAAUCAAAACUCGCGGCAGGGCUUAGCCUGGCGCCCGUGGGGUACUAAGAAGUUUGAAGGAUUACAGGGUGGCCUGAAGGAGAAGGGACUAGUUAGGAGGGGCCCGUAUUUGGGGCUGCUUGCCGUACAGUGUGAGGAUUGAGGCCAUGAUGCAAGAAAUCAUAGCGACAAAAAGCUCCCCGUAUGUAAGUGACAGACAUAUUGCAUAGUGCAGACCGAAGACUCCAAAGUGAAAGUCAGGGCAAGCUUUUAAGUAUAGUACAGACUCCUAAGAGUUAGGAGUCCACCUUCCGGCUCAAGGUGGAAAGCUUCGCCACUGUCUGACGCAUGAUCCCGGGAGUAGGCUUGACCACUUUUGGUGUCAGGAGACCAGUAUUUCGCGCUUCAGGACCUCUCUAACUGUGGUUGCAGGACUCUGGGAAACUAACUGAAGAAUUGCUGCUUUUUUCUUUGACUCAUGCACCAAGAUUUGUUGCAUUCACAAAAGGAUAAGAGAGCAACCAGGAUCAUGUCUGCUCCAGGAUCAACUCCUGCGUGCUGUCUAUAGGCCCUGCAGUGUCUCUGGCAAUGGCUUUCAGCUGAGAAUGAAAUCAGAGCUUAGAAUCCAUCAUAAGAGGUUUUCUCUGUUCCACUGGAGGUUUACUUUAAAGAGUUUUGACCACAGGAUCUUGGGAAGAAGACCUCAAGCCUCAGAUGACACCUCAGCCCUACCAAAACCUUGAUUUCAGCCUUGUGAGAUUCUGAGCAGUGAGCCUACUUGGUCCUUACAUGGACUUCUGGAUUUACACAGCAGAAAAAUAAAUGGGUAUUGUUUUAA